AUGCUUUAAUUGUCAGGGUUUGUGGUGUGAGUGUAUCAGGAGCUUAGAUGUGCCUGGUCUUCCAUCUAGGUGGAGUAGAUGGUUGCUAGGUUAAUAGAUUCUUUUCUUGAGGGGUCAUUAGCUUAUAACAGCCUCCCAAACUCCCUUAAAAUUCCUUCUUUGGAGUUCCCGUUGUGGCUUAUCGGAUUCGUUAACCACUGAGCCAUGACGGGAACUCCCUGGUGUAUAUUUAGAUACAAAAACUAAACCAUUAAAAAUAAGACUUAAUGAGAAUGUUGUAUAACCUCAGACUGGAGGUUUAUUUUUUUAAAUAAGAAAGCACAUGGAGAAGCUUUAAAGAAAGGAGAAAAGUAUUUGAAAAGCCAUGGUUACACAGUUGGGUAGGUUGGGUAGGGAUGGUCACUCUUCAGGGAGGCCUUUUGAGCAAGUGCUUAAGAGAGAAGUAAUGUCAAUGCCUGAGGAGGAGGAGGAAGCAACAUUAUCGGCACAUGUGAAGGGCCUAUGGCAGGGAUAUGCUUGGCCUGUUGGAGUAACAGCAAGAAGUUGGUGUAUUUGCAAGGGAUGAGGUUGUUGAAGUCACCAGCAGCCUGGUCAGGAAGAACGUUGGGAUGCUGCUGUCACCAUUAUUAAUCAACAUGAUUCUAGAGACUAAAUAAUGACAUCAAACUCACAUUGUUAUAAUACAGAAAAAUUAUUUUGUAUUGAGGGGAUGUGCUUAUACACAUGUGAAACCCAGGAAACUUGACAUAACUGAGAAGUAAUAAAAGAAUUGAGAAAGGCUUGAUAUACAAUGACUAUGAAAAAAUCAAUAGUUUUUCCCUAUACUAGCACUAAAUAGCUAGAAAGGGAAAAUGACCAAAAGGCCCUAUUCAGAGGCAAAACCAAAAUAUGAAGAUAUGAAUAUAAAUAUAAAAUAGGAAUGUAUUUUACAAAAAUAAUAGUGAAUGCAUGCAGAAAUAAUAAUAAAAUCAUAAGAAAGGGCUUAAAACAAGACUUGAAAGUAUGUGUUCUUGGAUGACAAAGUAUGUAAAUACCAUUUAAUACAACCCCAAUUCCAAUCCUAAUGAAGUCUCAAGUUUUUUUUAAAUUGCAUAAAAAUAUAUGAAACUUUAUAUAGAAGAAUAAAUGCCCCCAAAUAACCAAAAGAAUAGAGAAGAGGAUUUUCUGUUAGCUGAGAUUAAAACUAAUUGCAAAGCCCUAUUAACAUCCUAUGGCUGGCAAUUAACAUUUAGGUCAGUGGGUUAGCAAAGUUUUCUGUAAAAGACAAGAUAGCAAAAAUUUUUUUUUUAAUCUGUAAUAUUUUAUUUAAAAACGGAAAAAAAUUCUAAAGUAAGAUUUGGCAAAACUGUGUAACAGGCCCCUGGGUGUUUGCUUUACUUUCUCUGUAGUAAGAUAGCAAAUAUUUUAAACCUUGUGAGCCAUUUGGUCUCAUGGCCAUUUGGAAAAGACAGUUUGUUUAAUAAAUGGUGCCAGCUAUUAUACUAGUUUAUACUAACCCGAAACAAUAAAUAUUAAAUCCCUAAAAUGUAAAAAGAAAUUUUUGGUGUAUAAAGAUUUAGAUACAAAAACUAAACCAUAAAAUAAGAAGACUUAUGAGAAUGUUGUGUAACCUGGGACUGGAGGUUUAUAUUUUUAAAUAAGAGAGCAUAUGGAGAAGCUUUAAAGAAAGGAGAAAAGUAUUUGACUACAUAUAAGUGGAAUUUUGUUUAUGGCAAAGUUACAGAAUUUGAUAACUUAUAAACAAACUAUGAUAAUGUAUAAUCUGUGAAGAAAGUAAUAAAAUGGCAGUCUAUGAAAAAUACCUGUCAUAUAUGUGAAGAAAAAGGGCUAAAGUCUAUAACUUGUGAAGUGCCUCUAUAACCCAGUUAAAAACAAAACAAAACAAAACACGGAUGACAGUUCUUGAAAAGAAAACAGGUAGCCAGUGACUAAAGACAAAGAUGCUCAAUGUUACUAGAAGCUGUUCUCUUCUAUAAAAUAGGAUAGUUAUAGUACCCACCUUAUAGUACUGUUGAAAGACCACCUUAUAAUACUGUUGUAUUAAAUCAGAUAAUACAAAGUAUUAAAGUGCUUUGUCCAUAGGGUGUGCUCCACAAAUGUUAAUUUAUUAUCCUGUAGAAAUAAAAGCACAAGUAGGCAAGGGUUGCUGAGAAAGGAUGGUUAUGCCAUUUUGUUUGCAGUUGGGAAUAGCUGGAAACAACGAGAAUGGCUUGUCAGUAGGGAAAUGACUGAAUAAAUUAUUGUGUACCAUUCCUAAGGAAUGGUAUGCAAUAAUUUGAUGUAACUAGUUUAAAUUACAUUCAUAGGUGUGGAAAGUGUUUUAUGAUGUAUUGUUUAGGAGAAAUGCAAAUUUUGGAGAAAUAUAGAAAGCAUGACUUCAGUUCUAUAGCAAAAAUCCUUUGGCAUGUUUUUAUAUAAUACUGAAACAUUAACAUUCUACUUUAAAAAUCACUGUUUCGGGAGUUCCUGUCAUGACACAGCAGAAACAAAUCCGACUAGGAACCAUGAGGUUGCAGGUUUGAUCCCUGCCCUGGCUCAGUGGGUUAAGGAUCCAGCGUUGCCAUGAGCUGUGGUGUAGGCUGCAGACGUGGCUCGGAUCUGGCAUUGCUGUGGCUGUGGUAUAGGCCGACAGGUGUAGUUCUGAUUGGACCCCUAACUUGGGAACCUCCAUAUGCUGUGGGUGUGGCCCUAAAAAGCAAAAAAAAAAAAAAAA
rnacentral:lncRNA from 1 species